rnacentral:rRNA from 1 species
UCGGGAAUUUUGGGCAAUGGGGGAAACCCUGACCCAGCAACGCCGCGUGAAGGAUGAAGUAUUUCGGUAUGUAAACUUCGAAAGAAUAGGAAGAAUAAAUGACGGUACUAUUUAUAAGGUCCGGCUAACUACGUGCCAGCAGCCGCGGUAAUACGUAGGGACCAAGCGUUGUUCGGAUUUACUGGGCGUAAAGGGCGCGUAGGCGGUGUGUCAAGUCAGUUGUGAAAUCUCCGAGCUUAACUCGGAACGGUCAACUGAUACUGUCACACUAGAGUACAGAAGGGGCAAUCGGAAUUCUUGGUGUAGCGGUGAAAUGCGUAGAUAUCAAGAGGAACACCUGAGGUGAAGACGGGUUGCUGGGCUGACACUGACGCUGAGGCGCGAAAGCCAGGGGAGCAAACGGGAUUAGAUACCCCCGUAGUCCCUGAGCGGGCUGGCAAGGCGCAU